rnacentral:rRNA from 1 species
GAGCGCUGGCGGCGUGCCUAAUACAUGCCAGUCGAGCGAACAGACGAGGAGCUUGCUCCUCUGACGUUAGCGGCGGACGGGUGAGUAACACGUGGAUAACCUACCUAUAAGACUGGGAUAACUUCGGGAAACCGGAGCUAAUACCGGAUAAUAUAUUGAACCGCAUGGUUCAAUAGUGAAAGACGGUUUUGCUGUCACUUAUAGAUGGAUCCGCGCCGCAUUAGCUAGUUGGUAAGGUAACGGCUUACCAAGGCGACGAUGCGUAGCCGACCUGAGAGGGUGAUCGGCCACACUGGAACUGAGACACGGUCCAGACUCCUACGGGAGGCAGCAGUAGGGAACCUUCCGCAAUGGGCGAAAGCCUGACGGAGCAACGCCGCGUGAGUGAUGAAGGUCUUCGGAUCGUAAAACUCUGUUAUUAGGGAAGAACAAAUGUGUAAGUAACUAUGCACGUCUUGACGGUACCUAAUCAGAAAGCCACGGCUAACUACGUG